CUGGCGGCGGCUACCAUGCAGUCGAGCGGUAGAGAGAAUCUUGCUUCUCUUGAGAGCGGCGGACGGGUGAGUAAUGCCUAAGAAUCUGCCUGGUAGUGGGGGAUAACGCUCGGAAACGGACGCUAAUACCGCAUACGUCCUACGGGAGAAAGCAGGGGACCUUCGGGCCUUGCGCUAUCAGAUGACCCUAGGUCAGAUUAUCUAUUUGGUGGGGUAAUGGCUCACCAAGGCGACGAUCCGUAACUGGUCUGAGAGGAUGAUCAGUCACACUGGAACUGAGACACGGUCCAGACUCCUACGGGAGGCAGCAGUGGGGAAUAUUGGACAAUGGGCGAAAGCCUGAUCCAGCCAUGCCGCGUGUGUGAAGAAGGUCUUCGGAUUGUAAAGCACUUUAAGUUGGGAGGAAGGGCAGUAACCUAAUACGUUGCUGUCUUGACGUUACCGACAGAAUAAGCACCGGCUAACUCUGUGCCAGCAGCCGCGGUAAUACAGAGGGUGCA
rnacentral:rRNA from 1 species